rnacentral:lncRNA from 1 species
UUUUUCUUUUUGGUCUUUUGAGGGCCACACCCAAGGCAUAUGGAGGCUCCUAGGCUAAGGGUCGAAUCAGAGCCGUAGCUGCUGGCCUACGCCAUGGCCAUGGCAAUGCCAGAUCCGAGCCGCGUCAGUGACUUACACCAGAGCUCACGGCAACGCUGGAUCUUUAACCCCUUGAGUGAGUCCAGGGAGCGAACCUGUGUCCUCAUGGAUGCUAGUCAAAUUUGUUUCCACUGAGCCACGAAGGGACUCUGGGGCUGAGACUCAAAACCAUGUACUUCCCGCCCUGAUGCUUCAACAGGUGUGUGGACUAAGCUCCCCAGUGCCUUUCCUACACUCAGUUCCUUCUCCACUAUGAACCACUCCCUGGUAACGUUCCCGACCCACAGGUCCAUCAGGUCAGUCGUGUGCUCAGGGAACCAAGCACAGGCUGUCACCGUUCCUAAUGGUCCUGUCGUAACCGUACUCAUCCCUGCUCGUUCCUCUGGGUAGAGGCUGGCAGCCCCCUGUAAAGGGACACAUAAGAAAUAUUUUUGGCUUUCAGGCCACAUGCUGCAACUCACCUUGGCCAACAUGGUGCAGAAGUAGCCAUGGACACCUGGCCAUGGACAUGGCGUGGACGGACACCUGUCGGCUGCCAGUGGGUGCUCAGUGCUGGGUAUGCAAAGUGAAAGGCCAGUCUCGUGUGUGAGCUUGUGUCUACUGGGCUGACAGGUGGGUGAAGAGAAUUCAGCAGGAGGAAGGAGCCCUGCCUCUGACUUGCCCUGGCACCUUCUCUCUACAACGAAACACCUCCUGCUUCGCUAUCGACACCCUGGAAUAAAGGCCUCUCCGGAGGAGGCACCAAGGCCCCUCACAUGCAGUGGGUACUGAAAAAACUACCAAUUCUUGAAAUGGCUCAAGCGAAUUAAAGCACAUUGAAACGAACAGUGCCUUAGGUCUGUCCGACACAGUCACAACAUUUUCGAGCUUUGCGAUGUCUCAAUGUGUAACAUACUUUGUUACGGUGAGGGGACAGAUUCAUAAAGAACAUGACUGAAAACCAAACAGGAAAUGAGUAGGAGCUGGAGGCUCAUCUACGUGUUUCUUUACAUAUAUCGAACGACAAUGAUAACAAAACAACAGCCCUGUGACCGUCCUUCCUGGGCGCGGCGACGUACUUUGCAGAGCAGCACUUGGCAAGAUCACACCAAGGCGAUGCCACUGCUCCGGGGUAGACGAGGGAGGUGCACACGGGCUGGGCUGGGAAUCCUAUGAGGGACGCCGAGUGCUGGGACGGACCCCUCUUUAAAUUAGACCUCCUAUCAAAACGCCGUCACAGGGGCCCUGCCGGUUAUAAAUGCGCUAUACUGGACCGGGAGAAAAUUCCAGGGGUGCUUACAAAACCUCGCUAGAAGCGUUAAACAUUCCCAGCCGUUUUCAUUAUUUGUCAUUCAGCAAAUGUGAAUAUUUCUUUUUGUAUUCCUACUGAAGCUUGAAAUUAACAUGGCUUUUUGUUUAUUUCUUCAUUUCUGCACUCUUGUCAGGAACACACUUUGUUAGCUGGCUGCUGCAGAG